GCCGGGUGCAGUGGCACGUGCCUGUAGUCCCAGCUACUCGGGAGGCUGAGGUGGGAGGAUCACUCGAGCCCAGGAGUUCUGGGCUGUAGUGCGCUACGCCGAUCGGGUGUCCACACUAAGUGCGGCAGCAAUAUGGUGACCUCCCGGGAGCGGGGGACCACCAGGUUGCCUAAGGAGGGGUGAACCGGCCCAGGUCGGAAACGGAGCAGGUCAAAACUCCCGUGCUGAUCAGUAGUGGGAUCGCGCCUGUGAAUAGCCACUGCACUCCAGCCUGGGCAACAUAGCGAGACCCCGUCUCU
rnacentral:SRP_RNA from 1 species